CCUACGGGAGGCAGCAGUGGGGAAUAUUGGGCAAUGGGCGCAAGCCUGACCCAGCAACGCCGCGUGAAGGAAGAAGGCUUUCGGGUUGUAAACUUCUUUUCUCAGGGACGAAGCAAGUGACGGUACCUGAGGAAUAAGCCACGGCUAACUACGUGCCAGCAGCCGCGGUAAUACGUAGGUGGCAAGCGUUAUCCGGAUUUACUGGGUGUAAAGGGCGUGUAGGCGGGGAGGCAAGUCAGAUGGGAAAACCACGGGCUCAACCUGUGGCCUGCAUUUGAAACUGUGUUUCUUGAGUACUGGAGAGGCAGACGGAAUUCCUAGUGUAGCGGUGAAAUGCGUAGAUAUUAGGAGGAACACCAAUAGCGUAGGCAGGUUACUGGGACGGUUCUGACACUAAGGCACGAAAGCGUAGGGAGCAAACGGGAUUAGAUACCCGAGUAGUC
rnacentral:rRNA from 1 species